rnacentral:rRNA from 1 species
UACCGGAGGGGGGCUAGCGUUUGUUCGGAAUUACUGGGCGUAAAGCGCACGUAGGCGGCUUUGUAAGUUAGAGGUGAAAAGCCCGGGGCUCAACUCCGGAAUUGACCUUUUAAGACUGCAUCGCUAGAAGUUGUGGAGAGGUAAGUGGAAUUCCGAGUGUAGAGGUGAAAUUCGUAGAUAUUCGGAAGAACACCAGUGGCGAAGGCGACUUACUGGACACAUAUUGACGCUGAGGUGCGAAAGCGUGGGGAGCAAACAGG